AGUUGGUGGAGUGAUUUGUCUGGUUUAUUCCGUUAACGAACGAGACCUCGACCUGCUAAAUAGUACCGCUCGCCGUUCGCGGCGGGCUGGCGACUUCUUAGAGGGACUAUCGGUGGUUAGCCGGUGGAAGUUCGAGGCAAUAACAGG
rnacentral:rRNA from 1 species